ACUGGACUUUUGGAAAGAGAGAAAACCUAGGAAACUGAAGUGUAUGUCACAGGAAUGGACCAGGGAAUAGAAUUAUUAUCCAGAAUAAACUCCUCCUCCCCAUGUUCCUAGAUCUUUUCUACCCAUGGCAAGUGCCUGAAUAACGUUCUCCAUUCAGAGCAUGAAACCACUAAAGAAGCAAGAAGAAGUCUCUAGCUUUAGAGUGAUGGAAUAUGUAAAGUUUUCCCCUGUGUCUCAGGAGACACUCCUGGAAAAGGCACUCUCAAAACUGGCCAAUGUAAGGAAAGCUUUUAAGCAAGUAGGCCAAGGCAGUUCUCAGAGACAUCAUCAUUAGGCCUUCCUGAGAAAUCUCUUUUAACCUGGAGAUCCCUAUCUUCUGUGAUGUCACAAGUGUUGUCCUGACAGCAACUGCCUCUCAGAUAUUCCUUCAGAUCCUCUAGGGUUUACUAUUUGGCCUCUAAUUCAGAGUAAACAUCAAUUUGGGAGGGUGAACAAAGAGGAUGAAGAGAUCAGAAAUGGGGAGAACGAAGGAAGCUGGCCUUCUGUCUUGGUAUAAAAAAAGGAAGAAAUACGUGGUCCUUGGUACAGCUCAGUCAAGAAUAUAUGAUCCACAAAUGACAAUGCCAAAUAGACUCCCUCCUGUUCUCAUAACAUACUGAAGUUGAGGUUUCACUGGACCUCAAGCCAUUCCUCUUGCUGCCCAUCACCCAGAAACUAAUGUUUGGCCUGAAGGAAGAAUCAUGGUAAAACAUCCAAAAUCAUCAAGUCUUUCCCUGGACAAACAGGAAGGUGCGCCGAGCUCUUGGAGAAGUUGCUGAACAUCCUAAAGACUUUUGGGCAGAUGGUAAAGUUUCUAGAU